UUCAAUUUUGAAUAAUGGACUUGAAAGAUCAUCAUGAUGUCAGAGUUUGUAAAAUAGAUUUUCAAAUUUUUUUUCUUACAGGAUCUUAACUUGGAUGCUGUAAUUAUUAGUAUAAAUUUAUAACACAGUACUCUCUGUGAUCUCUUUGAUGAUACAGAUUGAGCAUCCCUACUCCCAAACAGUAUCCUACAUGCUGUGAAAUCCAAAAUACUUGGGAAUGCUGAAAUGAUGCUUAGAAAGUUUGAGAUUUCAGAUUUUCAGAGGAGAGAAUUCUUAUCUGGUGAAGUCUGCAAAUAAUCCCAAGUCAGAAAAACUCAAAUCUGAUUCAUGUCUAGUCCCAACAUUUUGGGCAAAGGUUACUCAGCCCCUAAUAAUCUAUUUGUUUUUAAGAUUUAUUUAUUUAUUAGAAAGGCAAAGUUAUAGAGAGAGGGAUACAGAGAAAGAGAGCUCUUUCAUCUGCUGGUUCACUCCCUAAAUGGUUGCAACAAGGAUUCUUGAACUCCAUCUGGGUUUCUCACAUGGGUGUAUGGGCCCAACCACUUGGGCCAUCUUCCACUGCUUUGCCAGGCACAGUAGCAGGGAACUGGAUGAGAAGUGGAGCAUAUGGGAUGCCAGUGUUGCAGGUGGAGUUUUAGCCUACUAAACCACAGUGCCUGUCCUUUAGAUUUUCUAAAAUUUAAUGCUUUGGUAAAUAUUGGGUCCUUUAUAUUUAGUAUUGUGAAGAGAAAAUUGAAAGAGGGAAAGCAGACAUUUGGCAACAGUGGUUAAGAUGCCUGUUAUCCCCUAUCAGUGUGCCAGGGUUCGAGUUCCAGCUCUACUUUCAAUCCCAGUUGGCUAGGAAUUAGCACGUGGUGGUUUGGGUACUUGGGUCUGUGCCAUCCAAGUGGAGACCAGGAUUUAGUUCCUGGCUAGGAAUUAGCACGUGGUGGUUUGGGUACUUGGGUCUGUGCCAUCCAAGUGGAGACCAGGAUUUAGUUCCUGGCUGCUGGCUUCAGCAAGGCCCAUCCCUGGCUGUUAUGGGAAUUUUGGUAGUGAACCAGCAGAUGAAAGAGUCCUUUCUCUUUCUGUCUCUCCCUGCCAAAUAAAAUGAAAGGACAAACAGGCAGCCCAGUCUGCCUUUCAAUUAAACUGGAAGAAAAUAGAAGAAGUGGCAUUAUUUUUAGGGAACAAUUGCUUCUGGUAAGCAAAUGUUUUCCAUUUCUUUUGAGGUAGGAAGUUUUAUCUGUGAGUUGUCUUAGUCUGAAAAGGUUUGUCAGGAUCUACUAUUAAAAUUACUGCUACAGGCCGGUGCCGCCUGCGGCGCCGCACAUCAAGCACCGGAGUCUGUCCCGGUUGCUUCUCUUCCUGUCCAGCUCUCUGCUGUGGCCCGGGAGUGCAGUGGAGGAUGGCCCAAGUGCUUGGGCCCUGCACUCACAUGGGAGACCAGAAGCACCUGGCUCCUGGCUUCGGAUCCGUGCGGUGCGCUGGCUGCGUUGUGCCGACUGCAGCGCGCCGGCCGCGGCGGCCAUUGGAGGGUGAACCAACGACAAAGGAAGACCUUUCUCUCUGUCUCUCUCACUGUCCACUCUGCCUGACAAUUAAAGGUUAUAUAUACCCCUUUUACUCUAACACACAUCACAGUUUAUGUUUAUACAGGUUGAACAUCCCUUAUCUGAAAUGACUUGGUACAGAAAUACUUUGGGUUUUGGAGAUUUUUGGAUUUAGGAAAGUUUGCAGAUAUAUAAUGAGGUAUCUUAUGGAUAAGACCCAAAGCUGAACUCAGAGAAUUAGUUUAUUCUGUGUAUGUUUUCAUAUGUGUGUAUGCAUGUGUAUAUAUUUUUGUAUGCACAUAGCUUGGUGGUAAGUUGAUACAAUAUUUUUAGUGCACCUGAAGUUUGAUGUGCUCCAUUAGGUCAGAUGUAGGAUUUGCCACUGGUGAUACCAUGCCAACACUCAAGAAAGUUUUAGAUUUGGAAGCAUUAAAAUUUUCAGGUUUUGGAUUUGGAGUAUUCUAUCUGUAUUAGGCAACCUAAAUUUAUUUUUGUAAGUGAGUGAAAUCAUACAUCCUUUCUUAUGAUUUCUGUUAGAGCAGAAAGCUGCUAUGGUUUUUGAGAGAACCUGUGUUUACUUUAAGAUGUUGAAAUUGAAUUUUCCAACAACUAGCUGUGCAACUGAAUUUGGUUAAUUAUUUCAUUGGGAAAGUAUUAUUUUAUGUCUUACUAUACCUAGCCAGUUUGCACAAAAUAGUUGAUAAAUAAAUGAGGUACAUCCUGAAAUGUAGUUGUAACUACCAUGGAAAACUGUUUUUCCCAAAUUGAGAAUCAGCUUCCUUGAUAAAUAAUGCAGUUAUCAUGACUUGCUUAUCUUUCAUAUUGAUGGGAUUUUUUAAUUUAUUAUUUGGUAAGGAAUUAAUUGAGCCUAAAGUAUGUCCUGUGUUGUACUGUUUAGGGUCAUAUGACAAUGGUUUGUAAUCAUAUGAAUUUGUCAUUUUAAGGACAAAAAAGCUAAAUAUGAAAAUUAGAAAUAUGAAAGCUUUUAGAAGAUCUGAAUAUAAAAAUAGCUGUAAGAUUUUAGGCACCAGGGCACAGAAGUAUGAAAAGACAUACUCUUUGCUAUCAUGGUACUAUUACAGCCAUAAUCCAGGUUUAGAACAAUGUGGAUCUGAACAAAGAGUGACAGCUGACGUGAAAAGGGAAUGUAUUAUAGUGAGAAAUCUUAAUAAUCCUUCAUCUGUUACUUCUACAUGUGGAGUCUGAGAAUGAGGGAGGAUCUUACUUGUAGUGUCAGUCAUUGACUACAGAGUACAGAAGGGGAGAAUGUUUUAAAAUAUGGUGGAGAAGACAAGAGUUGGCGAUCAUAAACGUACUACCUUGACAAGAUAUGAUAUUGAACAGGGUGGAGUAAAAGACACUUUUCAGUAUGUCCACCAUGACUAAAAUUUGUGCCUUCAAAAGCAGUUCACUGUGAGCUGAAUUGGUAAUUUCAGAACAGUUUGUGGAACUGACAAUGUAGAUUGCAGCAGAACUCAGAGCAGCUGCUCUAAUCAUGUCCCAGAUUCAUUUCAGGAUCUGAGAGGACACUUGUCUUUACUCAAGUAUGUGUUUUUUUUUUUUUUUGUCAUUAUGCAUAUAUGUCAUUGAAAUACUGAUGAAAUAAUAUCAAAGACUUUCAUUCAUAUGAAAGGUUCAAUUAAAGUUCAAAGGAAGCAUGUGAUUUUUUUUUAAAGAUAUAUUUUAUUUUAUCUGAAAGGCAGGAGUUAACAGAAAGAGGGAGAGACAGAGAUCUUCGAUCUACUGGUUCACUCCUCAGAUGGCCGCAGCAGCCUGAGCUGGGCUGAUCCAAAGCUAGGAGCCAAAACUUCUAGGUCUUCCAUGUGAGUGUCGGGCCAUCUUCCAAUCUUUCCCAGGCCAUUAGCAGGGAGCUGCAUGAGAAGUGGGACAGACAGGACCUGAACCAGGGCCAAAAUGGGAUGCCAGUACUGCGGCACACCACUGUACCGGCUCCUGUGAUUAUGUUCAAAGCAGUGGGACUGUCAGUAUAAGCCAUGCAAAUUAUGAGAAGGUAAGGUAUGGAUAUGGUAUAGUAAGGAUAUGUUUUGGGGUGUAGGUGUUCCAACUAUGAGAAACAGAGUCCUUCUGAAAGUAAAUCUGCCUCAACAGGAUUUUUUUUUUUUUUUUAAGAUUUAUUUAUUUGAAAGACAGAGUUACACAAAGGAGAAGCAGAGAGGUCUUCCAUAUAUUAGUUCACUCCCCUAAUGCCCUCAGUGACUGGAGUUGGGCCAGUUGAAAUCCGGGAGCCAGGAGCUUCUCGGUCUCCUACACAGGUGCAUGGGUUCAAGGACUUGGGCCUGCUUUCCCAGCACAUAUAGCAGAGAGCUGGAUGGGAAGUAGAACAGCUGGGACUCGAAUCAGCGCCCGUAUGGGCGCUUUACCCGCCAUGCCACAGUGCUGGCCCCCUGACAGGAUUUUUAUAAACUUAGUCAUGGACAUUUUUGUUUCCUCAAAGAAUAUCUUUAUUUUCCUUCCUUCCCCCUUCCUUUUUCUCCUCACUCUUCCCUCCCCCUCCUUUUUCUUCUUUUUCUUUUUAAGAUUUAUUUAUUUAUUUGAAAAUCAGAAUUGCAGAAAGGCGGGGGGGGGGGGUUUCCAUCUGCUGAUUCACUCCCUAGAUGACUGCAAUGGCUGGAGCUGUGCCAAUUCGAAGUCAGGAGCCAGGAGACUCCUCCAGGUCUCCCACAUGGGUGCAGGGGCCCAAGGACCAUCUUCUACUGCUUUCCCAGGCCAUAGCAGAGAGUUGGAUGAGAAGUGGAGCAGCUGGGACUUGAACUGGCACCCAUAUGGUAUGCCGGCACUGUGAUAUGGCGGCUUUACCUGCCAUGCCACAGUGCCGGCCCCUGUAUUUCUCAUGUUUUCCCUUUUUUGUUUUCAUUUUAAUGAAUUUUUAAUAGAUUCAAUAUGAUUUAGAGAUACAGGUCUAAGAACAUAAUGAUAUUCCCUCCCUUCCUCCCUCUCGUGCACGCACUUCUUUCUGUCCUUUUAUUUUGAGAUUUUUUUAAAAUUUAUAUUACAUUAAAAAAGAUUCAUGCUUCACCAAAUAAGAAGUUUAACAAAUAAAAGACAGAAAGACUGUAGUGUAGUGUGAAUAUACACUAUAGGUGUAAGCAGUAAUUGAAUUUAUAAAUGACCAUUUCACCCAUAUAGUUUAUUUUUUUCAGUUAUUCAUAAUUUCUUUCAAUGAAAUAGAAUGAAUGACAAUGUAAUAUCUAAGUACUUCUUGUGUUUAUAAGAUAAUAAUUCACUUAGACUGUAAGCCAUUUCCUUUCAACAGUUUAUACAUAAGAAUAAUUUUAUGUGGCUUACAAUGCAAAUAAUUAUACACUACUUUUUUUUUGACAGGAGUUAAGACAGAGAGGGAGACAGAGAGAAAGGUCUUACUUCUGUUGGUUCACCCCCCAAAUGGCCGCUAUGGCCGGUGCUGUGCUGAUCCGAAGCCAGGAGCCAGGUGCUUCUUUCUGGUCUCCCAUGCGGGUGCAGGGCCCAAGCACUUGGGCCAUCCUCCACUGCCUUCCCGGGCCACAGCAGAGAGCUGGAUUGGAAGAGGAGCAACCGGGACUAGAACCCCGAUGUGCCGGCGCCACAGGUGGAGGAUUAGCCUAGUGAGCCACAGUGCUGGCCUAUAUAUACUACUUUUUAAAAAUACUUUCAGUUACCACAGAUCACGGAAAAUAUGUUAUUUGUCUUUUUGUGACUGCCUAUUUCACUAAGUGUAAUGGUUUCCAGUUACAUCCAUUUCGUGGUGAAUGACAGGAAUUCAUUGUUUUUUUUUUACAGCUGAGUAAUAUUCCAUAUGUACCACAUUUAUUUUAUCCUGCCAUUGGUUGAUGGGCAUCUGGGUUGAUUUCAUAUCUUAGCUAUUGUGAAUUGAGCUGCAGUAAACAUGGAGGGUACAGAUAGUUCUUUCAUAUGCUGAUUGCAUUUCCUUUGGAUAAAUUCCCAGGAGUGGGAUGACUGGGUCAUAUGGUAGAUAUAUUUUCAGCUUUCUGAGUAAUCUUUUCUGUGUUCCACAAUGGCUGUAUUAGUUUGCUAUCCCAUCAACAGUAUUUUAGGGAAUCUUUUCUGCCACAUUCUCCCUAGCAUUUAUUGUUUGUUGAUUUCUGUUACAAGAGCCUCUCUCAGUAGCAUGAGGUGAAACUUCAUUGUGGCUUUGAUUUGCAUUUUUCUGAUGGCUAGUGAUCCUGAGCAUUUUUUCAUGUGUCAGUCGGCCAUUCAAAUUUCCACUUUUGAAAAAUGUUCAAGUCCUUCACCCAUUUCUUAACCGGAUUGCAUGUUUUGUUGUUGAGUUUCUUGAGCUCUUUAUAGAUUUUGGAUAUUAAUCCUUUAUCAGUUUACAGUUUGCAGCUUUUUUCUCCCAUUCUGUAGGUCACCUCUUCACUUUGCUGAGCGUUUCCUUUGUAUUGCAAUAGCUUGUUGAAAUCCAGUUCAUCUAUUUUUGUUUGGACUGCCUUUGCUUCUGGGGUCUUUUCCAAGAAGUCUUUGCCUUUGCCAGUGUCUUGCAGUUUCCCUGUUCUUUAGUAAUUUGAUGGUUUCAGGUUGUAGAUUUAGAUCCUUGAUCCAUUUUGCGUUGAUUUUUGUAUAAGGUGUAAGGUAAGGUGUCUUGUUUCAUACUUUUGCAUACAGAGAUUAGACUUUCCCAGACCUGUUUGUUGAAGAGACUGUAUUUUUUCAGAAAUUGAUUUUAGCCUCUUUGUCAAAGAUUAGUUGGUUGUAAAUGUGUGGAUUUAUUUCUGAGGAUUGUACUCUCUUCCAUUGGUAUACAUGUCUAUUUCAGUGCCAGUACCAGUAUGUUUUAUCAUAAUUGCCCUGAUGUAUGUCUUCAAAUCUGGUAUUCUGAUGCCUCCAGCUUUGUUCUUGUGUUUCUGUGUGAAUUUUAGCAACAUUUUUUUCUAGAUGUGAGAAUAAUAUGAUUGGUACUUUGGGACUGCAUUGAUCUGUAAACUGCUUUCAGUAGUAUAGACAUUUUGAUGAUAUAAGUUCUUCCAAUCCACGACAUGGAGGGUUUUUCCAUUCUUUGGUGUCUUCUUUUAUUUCUGUGAUGUUUUGUAAUUUUCAUCACAGAGAUCUUUGACGUCCUUGCUUAAAUUUAUUCCAAGAUAUUUAAAUAUUUUUGUAGCUAUUGUGAAUGAAACUGAUCUUAAAAGUUCUUUCUCAGCUGCCCUGGCAUUGUCUGUGUGUACAAAGGUGACUGAUUUUUAUCUGUUGAUUUUAUAUCCUGCCACUUUACCAAAAUCUCUAAUGAGUUCUGAUUAAUAGUGUCUUAGUGGAGUCUGGAGUUCCCUGAUAUAUAGAAUCAUGUCUGCAAAUAGGGAUAAUUUGACUUCCUCCUUUCUAACUUGUAUCCCUUUGAUUUCUUUAUCUCACUUAAUGGCUCUUGCUAAAGCUCCCAGGACUAUAUUGAAUAGCAGUAGUGAGAGUGGUCAUACUUUUCUGGUUCUGGACGUUAGUGGAAAUGCUUCCAACUUUUUCCCUGUUCAGGAUGUUGCUGGCUGUGUGUAUAUUGUAUAUUGCCUUGAUUGUGUUGAAGAAUGUGCCAAUUUGCUUAAGGUUUUUAACAAAAAUGUGUUUUUUAUCAAAUGCUUUCUUUGCAGCUGUUACAGCUUUUAAUUCUUCAGUGUGUUAUUGUGAUGUUUUACAUUUAUUGAUUUGUGAAUGUUGAACCAUCCUUGCAUACCAGGGAUAAAUCCCACUUGGUCUGUGUGAAUUAUCUUUCUGAUGUAUUGUUGGAUUCAAUUAGCUAGUAUUUUCUGGAGGAUUUAUACAUCUGUGUUCAUCAGGGAUAUUGGUUUAUAGUUCUCUUUCUCUGUUAUAUCUUUUUCUGGUUUUGGAAUUAAGGUGAUGCUGGCUUCAUAGAAGGAGUUUUGGUGGAUUCCCUGCCUUUCAAUUGUUUUGUACAGUUUGAGAAGAAUUACAAUUAGUUCUUUAAAAAUCUGUUACAAUUCAGCAGUGAAGCCAUAUGGUUUUGGGCUUUUCUUUGUUGCAAGGCUCUUUAUUAUUGAAUAAAUCUCCAUAUUUGUUAUUGGUCUCUUGAUGUCUUUCCUCAGUUUUGGUAGAUUGUAAGUGUCCAAGAAUUUAUACAUUUUUUUCUUGAUUAUCCAAUUUGAUGGCAUAUAGCUGUUUGUGGUAAUUUCUGGUGGUUCUUUUUAUUUCUGUGGUAUCUGUUACAUUUCCUUUCUCAUCUCUGAUUUUAUUAAUUUGGGUCUAAUCCCUUUUUUUUUCCCCUUUAGUUGGGCCAAUGGUUUAUCAAUUUUUUUUUUUCUUUCAAAAAACCAGCUUUUCAUUUUGCUGAUCUUUUGGAUUUUUUGUUUCAGUUUUGUUUACUUCUCUAAUUUUAAUUAUUUAUUUCCUCUUACUAAUUUGGGGGACGGGUUGUUGUUUUUCUGGGUCCUUGAGAUGCAUUGAUAGCUCAUUUGUUUGAUGCCUUUCCAAUUUGUUGAUGUAGGCACCAGUUGCUAUAAACUUCCCUCUUAGACUGCUUUUUGUAAACACUGCUUUUGCUGUAUUCCAUAAGUUGUAUUGUUUGUCAUCUUCAUUUCUUUUCAGGAAUUUUUAAUUUUCCUUUUGAUUUCUUCUAUGAUGCACUGUUCAUUCAAAACAUGUUGCUCAGUCUUCAUGUGAUUGCAUAAUUUCUAAGAGAUUUUUAGGUUUUUAAUUCCUAGCUUCCUUCCAUAUGGUCAGAAAAGAUAUAUGGUAUGAUUGCAGGUUUUUUUUUUUUUUUUAAUUUGCUGAGACUUGCUUUAUGGCCUAGCGUAUGGCCUAUCCUAGAGUAAGUUAAAAGCACUGAUGAAAAAUAUAUUCUCCAACAGUGGAUUGAAAGGUUCUAUAGAUUUCAGUCAAGUCCAUUUGGUCCAUAGUGUUGAUUAGCUCUGUUUUUUUCUUUCUUUUUUUUGUUGAUUUUCUGUCUAGAUGUGUCCAUUGAUGAAAGUUGGAGGUUGAAGGUUCCCCAUUACUAUUGUGCUGGAGUCUGUAUCUCUUUAUGUCCAUUAACAUUUAUUUUAAAUAGCCUAGCAUUGGGUGCAUAUGCAUUUAUUAUAGUCACAUCUUCCUGAUGAAUUGAUCCCUUAAUCAUUACAUAAUGCCCUUUGUCUCUUUUAACAGUUUCUGAGUUAAAGUCUAUUUUGUCUGAUAUUAGGAUGGCUACACCUAUUCUUUUCCACUCUCCAUUAGCAUGGGGUUUCUUUUUUCAUCCUUUUACUUUCAGUCUGUGUGUAUCUUUGUCGGUGAGGUGUGUUUCCUGUAGGUAGCAAAUAGCUGGGUCUUGUUUUUCAAUCCAUUUAGCCAGUCUGUAUCUUUCAACUGGAGAAUUGAGGCUUUUUUUUUUUUUUUUACAUUCAAAGUUGCUGUUGAUAAGUAAUGACUUGGCUCUGCCAUUUUUUAUUUUCAUAAAUAUUCCAGGUUUUUUGGUUUGAAUUUCCUUUGUGUUUUUACUGGGAGAUUUUCUGUUGUCACAUUCUUUCAUAGUAAUAUCUGUCUUUCUGUGUUUCUUGUGUGUAACACAACCUUAUGCUUCACUUGUAAGGGUCUAUGAGUUGUGACAGAGUCUUUAAAUUUCCAUUUGUUAUGGAAGGUCCUUAUUCUACCUUCAUUAUACAUGAGAGCUUUGUGGGGUACAGUAUUCUGAAUUGAGAGUUUCCUUUAAAACUUGAAUUAUGUCUCUUCUCUUCUAGCCUGUAAGGUUUCUGGUGAGAGAUCAGCUGUGAGUCUAAUUGGAGAUCUUCUUAAGGCGAUCUGGUGUUUUUCUUAUGCACAUUUUAUAAUUCUUUAUAUUUCACUCUUGAAAGUUUGACUACAGUAUAUCGUGGUGAAGAUCUUUUCUGGCCAUGUCUAUUAGGAGUUCGGUGUGUAUUGUGUACUUGGAUGUCCCUUUAUUUCCCCAAAUUAGUGAAGUUUUCUAUAAUUACUUCACUGAAUAGGCCUUCUAAUCCACUUUCUCUUUCCAUACCUUCAGGAACUCUGUAAGACCUGAAUAUUGGGUCAUUUGAUAGUGUCUCACAAAUCUUGAACAUUGUUUUUAAUUUUUAUAAUUUCUUUUUUUUUUAAAGAUUUAUUCAUUUAUUUGAAAGAGUUAUACAGAGAGAGGAGAGGCAGAGAGAGAGGUCUUUCAUCCGAUGGUUCACUCCCCAAUUGGCUGCAAUGGCCGGAGCUGCGCUGAUCCAAAGGCAGGAACCAGGAGCUUCUUCCGGGUCUUUCCACAUGGGUGCAGGGGCCCAAGGACUUGGGCCAUCUUGUACUGCUAUUCCAGGCCAUAGCAGAGAGCUGGAUCAGAAAGGAGCAGCUGGGUCUCCAACCGGCACCCAUUUGGGAUGCUGGUGCUUUAGGCCAGGGCUUUAACCAGCUGCACCACAGUAAUUUCUUACUUUCUAAUUUCUUUCUCUUCGAUUGUGCCUAUUUCCAAAGAUUUGUCUUCUAGCUUGGAGAUUUUUUUUUUUCUGCCUUACCAAGUCUGUUAUUAAAGCUUUCCACUGUAUUUUUUUUUUAAGGAUUUUAUUUAUUCAUUUGAAAGGUAGAGUUAUAGACAGAUGAAGAGAUGAGAGAAAGGUGUUCCAUCUGCUGGUUCACUCCCCAGAUGGCCGCAAAGGCCAGAACUGCACUGAUCUGAAGUCAGGAGCCAGGAGUUUCUUCCUGGUCUCCCACACGGGUACAGCGGCCCAAGCACUUGGGCCGCCUUCUACUGCUUUCCCAGGCCAUAGCAAAGAGCUGGAUUGGAAGAGGAACAGCCGGAACUAGAACCAGUGCCCGUUAGGGAUGCUGGCGCCGCAGAUGGAGAAUUAACCUACUGCACCAUGGCACCAGCCCCUCCACUGAAUUUUUAAUUUGACAUUGAAUUCUUUAUUUCUGGAACUUCAGUUUGAUUUCUCUUCAGAAUCUCAAUCUUAUGGGAGAAUUUUAAGAUCUAUUUUAUUUAUUGGACAGUUACAGAGGGGUAGAGAGAGGUCUUCCAUCUGCUGGUUUACUCCCCAAAUGACUGCAGCGGCUGGAGUUGAGCUGAUCUGAAGCCAAGAGCCAUGAGCCUCUUCUGGGUCUCCCAUGCGGGUGCAGGGACCCAAAGCUAUGGGCCGUCUUCUUCUGCUUUCACAGGCCAUAGCAGCGAGCUGGAUCAAAAAUGGAGCAGCUGGGACUUGAUCUGGUGCCCAUAUGGGUUGCUGGUGCUGUAGGCUAUGGCUAUUUAACCCCCUGCACCACAGUGCCGGCCCCAUGUAUGAAUUAUUUAACUCGUGAAUUUGCUUCUUACUGCUUCUGAGUAAUCCUAUAAUCAUUCUUCUGAAUUCCUUCUCAGGCAUUUCAUCAAUUUCUUCUUCUCAACCUUCUAAUAUUGAAGUGUUGUUGUGUUCCUUUGGGAGAGACAGGUUGUUUUCCUUGUCUUGUUUCUUGUAUUUCUGCAUUUAUUUUUAGGCAUUUGUGGAGGUACUUACUGGUUUUCUCCACUGAUGAGAUUUAUCUUUGUGGAUUGGUGGAUGAUCUCCUUCAGUACAUACCCAGUGGCAUGUCCUGAGUGUAGCCAGAGAGCUCUGGUUAUGACUCAAGGGUGGAGUGAGAGAAUCCAGGGUGACACCCACGUUGGGCAUGGUAGGUCAGCAGAGGAGGGUACGAACACAUUUGUUGAUGUAAUCACAGUCUUACCUCCUCUCUUCCAAGGGGAUUGAUGCCCUAGGUUAGCCCACUGUGGGUAUAAUCCUCACCCACAGUGGCACAAGAACUGCAGAAGGGAUCUGUGCAAUCCUCAAUGUGAGUACUGAAGCCUCUGCAAUGACUCAGCUCCAGGUAGUCAGGGAGCUGGGUUUCUGAUGAAGACAUGGUGAUGGCCCAGAGACCCCACUAUACCCCACACUCUGUCACACAGUCACAGGAUUCCCACAGUCAUCGUGCACAAAGCUCCCACAAUCACAGUCUCUCUGUCCCGUGAACCUGCUCUGUCUACAGAGAGAGCAGAGUCGUUUCCAGAGCCAGCUGCCUGUGUGUGUUCUGGCUUGUCAUUUUGUGCCCCUGAGCCUGUGAUAGGGUGAGAGGAUGGGGACAGCUCACAGUCCUAAGUGUGUACCCAGCCUCCUCUCAGCCCUCCCAUACAGACUCAGUGUAAGUGGGAAUUGCAGAAUUUUUUCCUCUGGUAAUAUUCCCUCAUUGUGUUCAUGAGAGCCACUAUUGCCUCUAGUUUAGUCAAGGUGGUGACUUCUCCCCACCAGUUGCUGGUGGCCUUGCGGAGGAAUGGGGAAAAACAUGUGGUUUUCCUUUGCUGGAUUAGGUGGGUACCAUACCCCGCUUAUGGCUGUAGGCAGACUCAGACAGUGCAUUCCACAAAGUUCUCCCUCAUGUAGUAUCAACAGUUGCAUGGGCUGCCACAGUCUGCCUUAACCUCGCUCUCAGAAUCUGGUGUUUCCUCUAGCCUCUGGCUGCAGGAGUUGUGGGUGAUGUCCCUGCUCACUGCUGUAAGUCUGCGCUUUCCAUUCUGCUCCUUGGUGUGUUUCUUUCUGUAGAAUUUCCACUGCAGGCUUCUCUCCAGUUCUCUCCUUUUCUUCUGCUAUAUUCCCCUGGUCGUCAUCAGCAUGUCUUUUCCCUAUUCAGCCGUGUUCGUCAUGAAUGUUUUAAAUGAUUAACAGCAGUGAGAAUGCUAAACAUGAAUUUGUGUUUUAUCUUGCUGUGUGUUUACAGUCUUUGGAAGAGGAUAAAAUAUACUGUGUUAGAUAUCUGAACUCUAGAUUCAAUCAAGGCGAUCUAGGAUUUAGGAUGCUUAUCUGACAUCUCUUGUAUUAUGUCGACACUAUGAUAUAUCCACUAGAGAACAUUGUUUUGAGGAGUAAGUGACCUGAUACAUGUGAUGUGACCAGUAUAGAAGCUUUUUAGUCCUUCAGUACUAAUCAUAAAACAUCCUCCAGCAUACUUAGUACCACCCUUGCACUCAUGACACUUCCAUGUUGAAAUGCUAAGUGAAAGUAAUUGUUUCAUUUCCAUGAUAUCAUUGACUUUGUCCUUUGGGAUUCUUUCUGAGAUCAUUCACUCAGCUUACCACUUGAAAAAUUUCGGAACUACAUUAGUUCCUGUUCUGCAUAUAAUUUAUUAUUCAAUGAUUGCAUCCCUUGCAUUUUUUAUGUGCAAUUUACAAAAAUUUUAGUUAUUUAUAAUUUAUCAUGUGAUGGUUGAUAUACCUUGUAAAAUGAUUAUCAUACCCAAGGUACACAUUCAUAACCUUACACAGUUCCAUUUCCAUUUAAAAAUAAAUGAAAACACUUGGCUACCAUGCUGUACAUUAGCUCUCUCAGAUUUAUUCAUCUGGCAAAAUUGAAACUUGAGCCUUUGAUCGGUGUGUCCGUGUUGCCCUCUUCCCCUACAACUACUAUUUUACUCUCUGCUUAACUAAUUUAACUUACUUAUUUUUAAAGAUUAGGGGAGUAGAGGUGCAGAGAUAUUCUAUCUUCUGGUUCACUCCCAGAUGGCCACAACACCAUGGGUUGGACCAAGCUGAAGCCAGGAGUCAGGAACUCCAUCUUGGUCUUCUGUAUGAGUAGCAUGGACCCAAGUGCUUGAGCCAGCACCUGCUGCUUUCCAGGCUUAGCAGGAAGCUGGAUUGGAAGCAGAGUAGCCAGGACUGAAAUCUGCAUGUUAGUAUGGCCUAACUAGUGGCUUAACCCACUGUGCCACAACACCCACCUCAAGUUCAGCUUGUUUAGAUUCCACAUGUAAGCGAGCUUAUAUAGUAUUUGUGUGUGGCUUCUAAACAUAGUGUAAUGUCCUGUUCAUCCAUGUUGUCAGAAAAUGGAGGAUUUCCUUUUAUAUUACUAAAUAACAGCAUCACACCAUACCACACAGCAUCACAUCUUCUUUAUCUUUCAUCUUGAGAAGGACGUUUCAGUGGUUUCCAUAUUUUGACUGUUGCUAGUAAUACUGCAAUGAUCAUGGUGGUAUAGAUGAUUUCUUCUGAAGUAGGAUUGCUGAAUGUUAUGGUAGUUCUGUUUUUAAUUUUUUGGGGCCCUCUAUUGAUUCCUAAUUGUUGAACUGAUUUAUAGACCUCCUUCUAUAAUCAAGAGUUUGCUUUUCUCCAUACCCUUGCCAACAGUUUAUUAUUAUUUUUGGUCCUUUUGAUCAUAGCCAUCAUAAUAGGUGUGAGAUGAUACCUCAUUGUGGUUUUGAUUUGUGUUUCCCUAAUGAUUUGUGAUGUUAAGCAACUUUUCAUAUGCCUGCUGGACAUUUGUAUGCAUUCUUUGGAAUAAUGUCUGUGCAGUUCCUCUGCCACUUUUUUUUCUAAGCAUUUCUGCUUUUUUUUUUUUUUUUUCUCCUGACAGGCAGAAUUAGGCAGUGAGAGAGAGAGAGAGACAGAGAAAGGUCUUCCUUCUGUUGGUUCACCCCCUAAAUGGCUGCUACGGCGAGUGCUGCGCCAAUCCAAAGCCAGGAGCCAGGUGCCUCCUCCUGGUCUCCCAUGCGGGUGCAGGGCCCAAACACUUGGGUCAUCCUCCACUGCCCUCCUGGGCCACAGCAAAGAGCUGGACUGGAAGAGGAGCAACUGAGACAGAACCGGCACCCCAACUGGGACUAGAACCCGGGGUGCUGGCACCGCAGGCGGAGGAUUAGCCUAGUGAGCCAUGGCACCCACCACCUGCCAAUUUUAAAAUUGCAUUUUUUUCCCUCAAUUGAGUUGUUUUGUGUAGUUUUAAUAUCCUGAUACGUUUUGCAUAUAAACCCCUUACCAAAUGUAUAGUUUGCAAUUUUCUCCUAUGUUAUGGGUUCUCUUUUGUUUUGCUUCCUUUGCUAUACGGAAACUUGCUAUCUUGAUACAGUCCCACCUGUUUAUUUUUAUCUUUAUUGCCUCUAUUUUUUAUGUCAAAUCUAAAGAAAUUCAUUGCCGAGAUCCGUCUCUUUAGAGCUAAAUCCUAUGUUUUCUUCUAGGAAUUUACAGGUUCAGAUCAUACAUUUAAAAUAAUUCACUUUUACUUAAGUUUUGUGUGUGGUAUGAGGAUACAUUUUCAUUUGUUUGUGAAUAUCUGGGUUUUGCUGUUGUGGGCACACAACACCAGUUGUUGAAGAGGCUGUUCUUUCCCUGCUGCGGGCCAGGCUGAAGCUAGGAGCUAAGAACUCCAUUCAGGUCUCCCACAUGGAUGACGAGGGCUCAGGUACUUGGACCGUCUUCUGCUGCCUCCACAGGCACAUUAGCGGGGAGUUGGAUUUGAAGCAGAAGAGCCAGGACUCAGUCUGGCGCUUUGAUACAGUAUGCUGUGUUGCACCACAAUGCGGACCCUCCCCGGUACUGUAGUGGGCCAUUUCAUGGUUUCCUAGGGUUUAUAAAAUCAUGUCAUUUACAGACGCAGUUUAAUUGUUUGCUUCCCAAUUUGGAUGCUGUUUAUUUCUUUUUCUUGGCCUGAUUGCUCUGACUAGGGCUGCUAGCACUGUGUUAGAACUGCUCAGAAUGGGCAUUCGUCUCUUGUUCUUGGUCUGGAAAGCUUCCAGUUUUUUGCCAUUGAGUGUGAUGUUUACCAUGGGCUUUUCUGAUGUAGGCUUCGCUUUGUUAGCCACAUGCCUUCUAUACUGACUUAUUAAGAGUUUUUUAAUCAUGAAAGGGAAAUUUUGUUGAAUGCUUUUUCUGUAUCUGUUGAAAUGAUCUUAGUGUUUUUGUUCUUCCUGCUGUUAUGAUGUAUUUUGUUUAUUGGUUUGUGUAUUUUGAGCCACCUUUGUUUACAUCCUUCCCAGGAAAAAUUCGCUCUUGAUCAUGGUAUGUGAUCCUUUGAUUUGGUUUGCUAGUGAUUUGUUGAUGGUGUUUUUUAAUUUACGCUCAUCAAGGACAUUGGCCUUUGGGCAAUGGGUAGUGGUGCCUUCAUAAGGUGAAUUUGGAAAUGUUCUGUCCUACUCAGUCUUUGGGAAGAGUUUAAGAAGGAUUGGUGCAGAGCCGGCGUUGUGGCGCAGCGGGUUAAAGCCACGGCCUGCAGCACCGGCAUCCCAUAUGGGCACCGGUGCCGGUUCAUGUCCCAGCUGCUCUGCUUCCAAUCCAGCUCUCUGCUAUGGCCUAGGGAAGCAGUAGAAGAUGGUCCAUGUCCUUGGGCCCCUGUGCCCGCUUGGGAGACCUGGAAGAAGCUCCUGGCUCCUGGCUUUGGAUCAGCUCAGCUCUGGCUAUUGCGGUCAUUUAGGGGAAUGAACCAGUGGGUGCAAGACCUCUCUGUCUUUGGCUCUACCUCUCUCUGUAACUCUGACUUUCAAAUAGGUAAAAUAAAUCUUUAAAAAAAAAAAAAAAGAUUGGUGUGGGGCCAGUGUCGUUGCACAGUAGGUUAAUCUGCUGCCUGUAAAGUCAGUAUCCCACAUUGGGGCACUGUUAGAGUCCUGGCUGCUCUGCUACCAAUUCAGCACCCUGCUGAUGUACCUGCGAAGGUGAUGGAGGAUGGUUCAAGUAUUUGUAUCUCUGCCACCCAUGUGGAAGACCAGGAUGGAGUUUCUGUUUCCUGGCUUUAAGCCUGGCCCAGUCAUAGCUGUUCGGACCAUUCUCGGAGUGAACCAGCAGAUGGAAGGUAUCUCUCUCUGUCUUUCCCUCUCUGUAGCUCUGCCUUUCAAAUAAAUAAAUAUUUUUUGUUUGUUUGUUUGUUUAAAGAGUAGAGGUAGGUGAAGGAGAAUUGGUGUUAAUUCUUCCUUUAAAUGUUUGGUGGAAUUUACCUGUGAAGCCAUCUGGUUCUGGGUGUUUCUUUGGAGGCUUUAGAUUAUUGAUUUUAGUCUCCUUAGUUAGAAGCCUGUAAUGAUUUUCUGUUCCUUCAGUUUCAGUCAUUGCAGGUUGUAUGGUUCCAGAAAUUCAUCCAUUUCUUCCAGGUUAUCAACUUCUUUGGUUCAUAAUUAUUAACAGUAGUUUCUUUGCCAUUAAUUGGAGUAUAUCCUCUCAUUUUUUUAUUUUACUUGGGUUCUCUUUUCAAGUAAAGGUUUGUGAAUUUUGUGUAUCUCUUCAAAAACCAAUUGCUUUCAUUGAUCUUUUCUUUUAUACUUCCUAGUUUUUCUAAUCUGUUAUUUCCUUCCUUCCUUCCUUCUGUUUAAGCCUAUAGUAUUUAUUUCUUUUAUUCUUUUAGAAGAUUUAUUAUUUUAUUUAUUUGAAAGAGUUACAGAGAGGUAGAGACAGAGAGAGAGGUCUUCCAUCUGCUGGUUCACUCCCCAGAUGGCUGCAAUGGCAGGAGCUGUGCCGAUCCAAAGCCAGGAGCCAGGAGCUUCUUCCGUGUCUCCCACUUGGGUGCUGGGGCCCAAGGACUUGGGCCAUCUUCUACUGCUAUUCCAGGCAAUAGCAGAGAGCUGGAUUGGAAGAGGAGCAGCUGGAACUAGAACCUGUGCCCAUAAAUGGAUGCCAGCGCUUCAGGCCAGGGCUUUAACCCACUGUCCCAUGGCACUGGUCCCCUUAUAGUAUUUAUUAUUUUUAGGCAGUCUCCUAUCCCACCAAAAAAAAAAAAAAAAAAACAAAAAAAAACA